CUUGAACUUUAUAAGAGGUCCAGCCUGCCCAGUGACUCUGUUCAACGGCCGCGGUAUCCUAACCGUGCGAAGGUAGCGUAAUCACUUGUUCUUUAAAUGCGGACUAGUAUGAAUGGCACUACGAGGGUUAUACUGUCUCCUUUUUCUAAUCAGUGAAACUAAUUUUCCCGUGAAGAAGCGAGGAUAUAACUAUAAGACGAGAAGACCCUAUGGAGCUUUAAACAACCCAGCAAUUACUUCUAAAAUUGUAAAUUUCAGAAUAUUCAUUUCUUAAGUAAUGUGUCUGCAAGUUUUUGGUUGGGGUGAYCAUGGAGAAUAACAUAACCUCCAUAUUGAAUGAAUUCCCUUCUAAGCUGAAAAUUACCAAUUGAAGCAUCAACAUACUGACAUCUAUUGACCCAAUAUAUUUGAUCAACGAACCAAGUUACCCUAGGGAUAACAGCGCAAUCUACUUCAAGAGCCCCUAUCGACAAGUGGGUUUACGACCUCGAUGUUGGAUCAGGGUAUCCCAGUGGCGCAGCC
rnacentral:rRNA from 1 species